rnacentral:tRNA from 1 species
GACUCAGUGGUUCAAUGGUAAAGCGCUCGUUGCGGAGCUAGUGGGUCCUGGGUUUGAUUCCCAACAGGGGUCG